rnacentral:rRNA from 1 species
CCUACGGGUGACAGCAGUGGGGGAUAUUGCACAAUGGGGGGAACCCUGAUGCAGCGACGCCGCGUGGGUGAAGAAGGGCCUCGGCGUGUAAAGCUCUGUCAGCAGGGAAGAAAAUGACGGUACCUGAAGAAGAAGCCCCGGCUAACUACGUGCCAGCAGCCGCGGUAAUACGUAGGGGGCAAGCGUUAUCCGGAUUUACUGGGCGUAAAGGGGGCGCAGACGGCGAUGCAAGACAGGAGUGAAAGCCCGGGGCCCAACCCCGGGACUGCUCUUGGAACUGCGUGGCUGGAGUGAAGGAGGGGCAAGCGGAAUUCCUGGUGUAGCGGUGAAAUUCGUAGAUAUCAGGAGGAACACCGGUGGCGAAGGCGGCCUGCUGGACUGCAACUGACGUUGAGGCCCGAAAGCGUGGGGAGCAAACAGGAUUAGAUACCCGGGUAGUC